GGGUCGAUAGCUCAGUUGGUAGUUUAGCGCCGGCGUGAAUUUCCGGAGGUCGUAAGUUCAAUUCUUACUCGGCCCA
rnacentral:tRNA from 1 species